UGCGCUUCAGCUGUCACCCGCGCUAAACAGGGUCAGCAGGGCCGUGAACAGAUUGAUGAUGUCAAGGUAGAGCGAGACGGCGGCCCAGACAUACUCGUCAUACGUGUAACGCUUGAUGAUGUCGUCCGUGUCAUAGACAAUGUAGCCACUGAAGAUGAGUGCCGCCAGCGCGCCACAGAUCAUGUGAGAGAGCUUGCCCAGCGGGAAAAGGAUCUGCAUAUUUAGAGAAGCCAUGAUCAGUAUCACAUUGUAGAACAGAGAAGACUGAUAAAUGGACAACACACCUAAUUAACUAGAGAAGGGAAUUAAUGCAAGCUGCAUAGGCAUCGAUCUGACCUGAAUGAACCCAAAGACGAGCAACAUGAUGAGAGAAGCAAAUAGGAAAGGACCAAGGAAUCUGAAGUCCUUGCCCCUCUUUGCAGCCCAGAAGGUGUAAGCAGUGAGACUGAAGACAAAGGAAAACCAUCACCACGACAAGAACAAAACACAUAUAUAUCAUAGGGUAGUGUAUAUCAUAUCAGAGCAAGCUUACUAAAUGAACUAAUUGCUUUCUUACCAUCUCAUAUCAUGUAAAUCUGACCAAACAAAAAAGCACACGUGCAUGCUAAAAUCACAAGCAUAUCACAAAUGCUUAACUCAGACAAGCAUAUCAUAAAAGGUGACCAACAGGUACAACUUGGCCCUCAGCACAAACCGGGGAAAUGCAUCAACUAGACUCAUAUGGAUUGCCUAACAUUUGCAUGACCAUGGCAAAUUGGCAGCAACUAUCCAAUUGCCGUACAUAGUGACUAACAAGCUUACUAGUCAUGCACAUGCAAUGAAUUGACACAACGAGAGGGACAUUAGAAGACUGAAGAACAAGCUAGGAUCUGCGGGCAGGAACAGAGUUCAUGGUGGGAAGACAAAUACCGCUAGUAAAGGCACAUGUCAUGCCCACAGCGAAGCUGAUGGCCACUGUGAAGACGCCGAGCAGCAGCAGGUUGACUGGGUGCUUCUGACGGUAGCAGUACAACGGGCAAAGCACUGCAUAAACAAAAUUAUCAAGCAUUUUAGCAACGGGCACAGCACUGCAAUUCACAAAGCAACCACGUCCCAUUCUAAUCUAGUAAAGCAAAAUUAUUCACUGCAAGAGAAUCAAGAGUUUACAACACAUCCAUAGCUUUUGUGGGGAAGCGACGGCAUCCAAAGGUAAUUCAGAGCAGAGCACGCAAAGGGAAAGCUAGUUCGUCCUGUCCUCUCACCAAGGCCUCAAAAAUUAACAGCCACAACUUUCCCUUCUUCUAAAUGCAAUAGUAACAAGAAGGGAAUAUAUUCCAGACGCCCGCGGAAACCCUCCGUACAAUCGGAUCGGAUUGAUACCCAACGUAGACAAAUUCGUAACAGAAAAGAUGGUGGUAGCUUGAAUUCUCACCGAUGAAGGGGAAGAUGAGGAUGAAGAUGUAGACCCCAAGGCCGGCGUAGGAAGAGACGAAGAAGUGGGGGAUGGCGCGGACCUUGACGACGACGGCCGCGACGACGGCGGUGAGGAGAAGCUGCAGGGAGAGGAUGACGUAGAUCUUCCGGAUGAGCGCCCAGCGCAGCUCGGGGCUCUCCGCCAUCCCGGGGUACAGCACCUGCGCCGGUGCCGUGGCAGUGCCACCGGAGGUCCCCGCCUCGAUGUCGCCGCCCUUCUGGUGCCCGGACAUCUCGCCCGGCGAUGCGAUGACCAGGGAAGCAGCCUUCGGAGGGUAGGGUUUUCGCGGGUGUGGCGGAGCGGAAGGCGAGAGGAGGGGAGGAGCAAAGCGUAUGGUGACGGGCGGACGGCGACAAGGAUGAUGCGCCGAGAAGGCUCCACUCCUCGACUUAGACUCGUCACAAUGGGAGUAACUUAACUAAUAACAUCACACAUUUCAAUACAAGAUUGCUUAUGUGGCAGCUAAUUAAUGAGGAGAGAGGGGUUUAUGGUAACUUAGCUAGUUACUGUAACAUCACACAUUCCAAGGCAUAAUGAGUCUAUAGCCUAAUAAAUGAACUCUUUCAUGAUACCACUCAUAUGUUACUAUCCACUAUGGAGGUAGUAACAUAGACUAGUAACAUCGGCAAGUUACUACUCUAUGUUACUCCCCACUGUGAGCAAUCUUAUACAGUCAAAGGAGAAGAUGGAGGACGGUGGGAUUGCUUCGCGGCUCCUUCUUGGAAAAGUGGGGUUUACGCGGUUACGUAUGUUGGUUGAAAGACAAAGGCUAUCUCUAGCUUGUGUGACUGUGGUGAUUUCUCGAGCGGUUUUGAAUUUUUGUUGGUGGAGAUUGAGAGGGACGUUGGGGCCCGAUUGACGUACGCCUUGGAGUCGUUGCGCCGUUGACGCACGUGAGCACGUACAGUCGAUGUUUAUGAGGUUUUUUGCUUUUCGAAAAUUUUGAAGGUUUCUUUUUUAUAUGCAUGGGAGCCGAAGAGUUUUUCUUUCUUGAGGGAAAACUUCAUAUGCAGGCAAACGUGGCGACCAACACUAUAGAGCACUUGGAGAAAAUAGAUGUGCUUUGUCGUCAUCCGAUGCGUGGAAAGUAUAUAGUAUGUGUUUGUCGACUGGCCUGACUUAAUUAACCAGGUGGAAAAUAAAAGAACCUGAAAAUAAUGGCUUUGGAAGCUCCGACAAGAACUGAAGAGGAACCCGAGUGGCAGCACAGAAGCUCUGUGUGGAAGUUCACCAAAGAACCCAAUAAUAAUGGCUUUGAAAGCUCCAGCGCGAACUAAAGAGGAAGCCGAGUGACAGCGCGGAAGCUAUGUAUGAAAGUUCACAAAAUGUUCGUAUUUUUUAAAAUAAAAGAAUUAAAAAGGAUAAAAUAAAACAAGAAAAACGGAAAACUGAGUAAAACAAAGAAACAUUACACGCCAGUAGCUUUUGGAAGCUUCUCAAAAUCAGGACUGGGUAGAGCUUAUAUGAGCCAGCACAUACAAAAUAUAUGGUGGACGCUAUGUAUGGUUAACGAACUAUUUGACACUUAACACGCCAAAUAAGAUACCAUUCGUUUGCAAACCAACCUGUGGUUGGAUGGUUAGAGGGACAGUGGUAUCCCUAGCCCCUCAGAAUUCAAAGUCCUAGUGCUCGCAUUAUUCCUGGAUUUAUUUCAGGAUUUCCGGCGAUACGCUUUCAGUGGGAGGAGAGUUCCCGUCAACGACGAGGCGCCUACGGUGACUUUGUAAAUCUCAAAAUGACAUGCCGGCUCAGUCUCUUAAAGAUGCUCAUAGAGGUAGGAAGGGGUGAGUGUAUGCGCGUAUGUAUGAGCGCUUGCGUCUGUACUGUGAUAAAAAAAAGGAAAAAGAAAAAAAGAUACCGCUCGUUCACAUGGGCAGUGCACUCCCUAACGUGCCGAGGCUCGUCAGCCCAAGCUGCUUCGUGGAGCGGUUGUCAACUGUGGAAUGAAAAAGAAACGGUUAAGCGAUUGUUGGUGAUGAUAAGUUGCGCGGUCUUUUUUUUGAUAUAAUAAGUUGCGCGGUUUUGUUGUGUUAUUCUUUCAUGCGUGGUGGAUGGAAAGGUAUUUUGUAUCGUGUUUUUUCAGAUACUAGAUUUUUUUUUUAGGCAACUUUUCAGAUACUAGAUGAUGCCCCGCGUGUUGCUACGGUAAUUUUGUUAAAAAUGCAUAAAUAGUUGCUAAAAAUAACUAAAUCUAAUGAAAAGAAAAUUUUAACCUUGAAAAUCAAUAAAAGAAAAUCUCUAAAAAUAGAAUAAAAACUUUUAAAUUACUGUUAAAAAUUAUCAUUUCAAAUAAAAAUGUGAAGGAUGACUAACAUUAAUGUAUGAUAUUACAGCGUUACAUGCAUAGACUAAUGCAAAAAUAAUUUUAAUUUAUAAGUUUGCUUAUGUGGCAGAUUUUGCAUGGCUUAGUGGGAGAGAAAACAUAAAUGCAUGGCCUUAGUGGGACGCUGAGGUGAACACUUUGCAUGUUGAGAGAAUUGAGACCAACUUCUUUAGAAUGUAGUAAAUUGGGAGCAACUUUGCCUCGAUCCGCCUGGCACGGUGGCUCUGCCAGGCGGCCACAAAGGGCGGCCACCUCAUGCUUCAUCUCGGUGGUAAGGCUCUCCCACAGCGCUUCGCCUUCUACAGUCAUGACGGAUGCGGUGCAAGGGAGGAGGAUGUGGAGGGACUUGUGUUGUGCCGUCGAGUUAGCCGGGUGUGGCUGCCUUUAAAUAGGAGGCAAACCAUCCCGGUGUGUCAAUGCGCCGUGUCGGAGUGGGUUUCUCGGCCGACGAGCCUGCUUAAUGGCGACAUACGAACAACGGGGCAUUGAAUGGGUGUCGUAAAUAUCCGUCCCGUCACAUCCAGUAACGAGUCGCCGGCACUGAACAGGCGCGAAGACCGGGGAGGAGGCACGGACGGCACCCUUGACCGGCGUGGCGCUUCAAUGACGGAGCCAGUGAGAGGUCGCGUUCGCUCUGGGCCGGCUUCAAUGUGGAGCAGCCGCUCUACAACGGCAUGAAUGCGGGCAUCUGACGCCGGACGGGAACGCGUGCGGGCGAGGGAGGAAGGUAUAGUGGGCCAGGGCAGUCGGGCAUGGGUUUGGGUGUUGUCUUGACACUCGCAAAGCUCCUAUGUUUGUCUCCGAUUUACGAAAAAAGUAUGUUUGAACCGCUCGACGACCGAUACAGACCCACGUUGGAUCGCACAACACGCCUGAACCGUGUGAUUUCUACAUAAGCGGACGGUUAGAGGGUUGGCGUGGGAGAGGAGAUGCCCUAAUCCCCGGCAGAAAUGUACUCCACACUUGGUACAACUUGUCUCCAUACACGGUGCAAAGUGUGCUUCAUGCGUACUCCAAUCUGUGAUACUCCCUCUAUAAAGAAAUAUAAGAGUGUUUAAAUUAUAAAACUAAUGAUCUAAAUGAUUUUGUAUUUCUUUACGGAGGGAGUGUGAAAUAUUUUUUGCUUUUCUUUAAAUGGGCAAAAUCUCAUACAAUGAUGUCAUGAAAACAAUGCGAAUACAUCAAGUCAUUCACCAGUGUAACCGAUAAGGUCACAAUUUUUUUUGUUAAAAAAAUGGUCACAAUUUUUUGGAACAUUAUUCUAGGCACACCUUAUAUAGCAAUUUAAUUUUGAAAAAACAAAUAAUUCUGAAAGUUUUUGGUGCAAACAUGGUCGAGUGUUCUACUUGCAUAUAAGUUUUGUGAAGAAAUUAUUCUCAAAAGAAAAAGUUUUGUGAAGAAAUUACUUCAUUCUUCUUCUGGGAAAAACAUAAUUGCAUUUUCAAAUAUCUCGAGUGGUAACUUUUAUAUAGAUCUGAUUUUGUUAUUUUUUGCAGAAAUGACCAUGUAAGUCAUUUCUUCGCGAAACUUUACAUGUGAGUAUAAUACUAGACCAUUUUUUUAAAUCUGAAUUGCUUGACUCUUUUAUUAAAAAAAAUGAAUUAGGGUGCAGACCAAGCUUCAAUUGGGAUUUUUUUCCUAGAAUAAAUUAAGGUGCACGUAGACCCAUCGGAGAAAAGCUUAGCGUUGUCGCGCCUCCAUUGCAGACCCCCCCCCCCCCUCUGUUCACAGCUAUGCCGACUCUGUCUCAUCGUGGCAGUGCACCUGAGCACUGGCGACGCUCCCAUAGGGGCGGCGGUGCUCCCUACAGCACCGAUCGCAAUGCCAGAUCACGCGUGUCGCCUAAAGCCAUCACAACAGAGGCCCUAAUGUGAGACCAUGCUUCACAACAUCUGCAUUGUUGUGAGCCCGCCCUUUGCAGCAUCAGUGAGUGAGGAAGCACACCAUCGCCCCAAGAUUUGUAGGAUGGUUCUUGCACAUUGCAACAACGCACCGUGAAUGCGGCAUCGAGUCGCCGUAUGUGUUCGACUGUCGUAGUUGGCGAGGGCAGCGGGCCUCCUUGCAACACCUCCUGUGAUCCCCCUUGUAGCACCUCCUAACAAAUUGUUGCAUCAGUGCCGGCUCGCAGCAGACAGACAUCUCCUUGCACCAUCCUGCAUCCGCUCUCAUUCUUGCAGCAGCGAGGCAUGAGGCGGUCAGCCACGCAUCAGCCUCCUAAUCUCCUUUGUAGCACCGCGUUGACCAUUGAGCAGUGUCCCAACGAGCUCCUGCAACAGGACGACAUUGACCAACAGCGACGUGUGUAGCGUGGGGGGCACUCUUUUUCCAUCAUGUUCCUUUUAGUGGGUGUAGGCCACCGAGUAGGGUCGCGUUUACGGAGAUGCAUAUACGGCGGUUGUUGUGAGAGGAAAGAGACACUACUAGGAACCUUCUUAUAGGUGGAUCCUUGCCAAUGGCGGAUAGGCAUUUGCGCUUGCCACCGGUAUUCUUUGUGAGGGCAUUAUUUUAUCUUCUUAUUUUUGUGAGGGCAUUCCUUUAUUCUUCUUAUUAUUGUGAGGGCAUUCCUUUAUUCUUUUAAGCAUCAUGCUAAUUGUUUUUUCUUAUAUACAAUAUUUUUACACAUAGUGCAUAAAGCACAUUUUUUAAAAAGAAAAACGCAACCCAUGUACUUGAAGUCUAUUGGUCGACAAAGAACACAUAAUCCAGGUGCUUGAAGCCUAUUGGUUGACAAAGAAACACAUAAUCCAGGCGCUUGAAGCCUAUUGGUCAAGACACCCAUCCACGGAUUGAUGACAUGGCCUAUUGGCUAUUUCCGGUGGAAAGAAAACACGUCUACCGUCCACGCCAAACAAAAAUCACGUGCGCGCUGUCAAAAAAAAAAAUCACGUACGUAUCUCCUGCUCCAAGCGCUGGCCGCUGCAAGUUCCUCUCCUUGGCUCCCCGCACGCCGCUCAACGCCGUUGGCCCGGCCGGUCGUCUACAACCAUACAAAUUGCCACCUCGGGCAAGGAUCCGACGCAAUCCAGGAAACUGAGGGGACGUCGCCGCUCCACGCCCGUGGAGCAACGCCGCGGGAAAGGCUCCGGACGGUGCGGAGCCGCCGGGACACUGCACCGUGGCGGAGACCGCCGCAGGCCGCUGCUGGGGGACUGCUUCGUGGUGGAGACCGCUGCCGAGGCGCUCCUUCCCCCUUCCCUGAGUCGGCUGCGCCGGACGCCGCAUCCUCACCAGGCUCCACCCGGUCUGUCGCCUACCACCGUAGCUGGGAGCGUCCUGCCCCGCCCUUCGCCGGGAGCGUGGAGAUGACGACAAUAGCGGUGGUGCUCCGUCCCCGAGGCCUGAGCUCCUCCCUCCGGUUUGUAUUCAGCUAACCGUGCAAGAUGCCAAUAUCCAUACUAGUUUUCUUUGAGAGUAACACUCUUAAUUCCACUGUACAUGCCAUGUACGUACAUAAUUUAUUAUACAGUAAGGUCUCAUCUUAAAAUACAUUCUUGAAUACUCCCCACACUUUCCGUUUAGCAAGCAUGAUCAAUCGUAUUUGUUGCAAAUAUCGUUUUGAAAUGGUUUGCUUAUCCUCACAAGUUUAGUAUUCAUAGUGACUAAGUGAUGCAAUGAUAUGGUUGCGAUUUACUGAUUUAGUGCAGGUAGUUACUGUCCAGAUAUUUUUGUAUGCAUCACCUCUGGCUCUAUGCUUAUUGUUCAAGUCAGCAAACUUGAUGACUCUAAAGUUAUUAUUUGUGGAGCUUGGUUUCCAUUUUCGGCCAAAGGUUAAUUAGGGAUGUACCUCACGGUAAUCUACAUACGUGAUUUUUUUUUCAUACAUAUACAACCGUGCCCAGUAAAAUGUACUCCCUUCAUUUCAAAUUAUUUGUCGCUGAAAUAGAUGUAUCUAGAUGUAUUUUUAGUUCUUUAUACAUUCAUUUCUAUCCAUUCUUGCGAUUCGGGGCGGAUGGAGUAUCUUUUUAUUAGUCUUCUAAGAAUGUAUAUUUCCUUACGUUGGAAUCCUGAACUGGCGGCAGAAUAAUCCAUUUCAUGUCCUCUCUAAUUAUUAUCUUCAACUUUGUUAUGCCGCAUCUCUUAAUUCUAUGUAGCCAACACUCACGCAUAUUAAUUUUGUACUGUAUCAUUACCCUUUGGUCAUAAACGAAUCGAAGGCAUUUCCCACUAACAUAUAUAUGUACAUUGAAAUACAUUUGUUUCUCGGCGCUUUCUGGGCAGUUUAAGAAAUGAGAGAAUUCAGAUUAGCUACGAGAAAGACUAGUCCAAUCCAUAAUGAUGUACUGAAAAAUACAACAUUUUUAUUGUUUGACCAACCAUCGGUAGAAGCAAAUACAAGGGGUAGACUAAUUACUAAGAGUGAGAAAGUCGUAAUUAAUGCAAAAACAGCUAAUUGGAAAGCAAUAGUCAUAUUUUCAAUCCUAAGCUACCAUCAAAUAAAGUUGACUAUUUGAUUCCUCACUUAACCAAAAUUGUAAAAAACAAUACUACAAUACACAUUAGAUCCAUGCCCCUCUUAGUUAACAUUCAGACCACCUAUACCUUUGCACUUCGGUUUUUUUCUUGAUCAUGACACACUUAAAAUCUAUAUAACUACAAUACACAUUACAUCUGCACCUCUGCUCAUUUGAAAAUAUUCUACAAAAAUGUCAUAUGCAUAGAUUGUAGUAUAUUGCAAGAAGAUGAACUACAUACUUUGAAGCCUCUCACAUUAAGUUUUUCCCCUGUCUACUACAGUGUUUUCACGUGAUUUCGCAAACAAGAGAACAAAAUAGGUCACGACCAGACCAACAACGGGCACAAGAACGGCGUGAUCUUAUUUAUCCCUCCUAUCUAUGUAACCUUAUGUUUAUCAAUGACCGCAUCAGUUUAGUCAAAACAAGAAAACAAACUAAUCAACUAGCCAUACAAAAAAACCAGACAAAAGAAGCAACAAGGACCCCCACGCAUGCACAAAACAAAAAACAUACAUUGGCUUUGCAUGAAUCACCAGAUAACCAAAAAAUACCACAGCAGGAGCCCUCUUUCAAAUCCUUUUUUCUCACAAGAAAAAAGAAAUAAGCACACACAUGGGCUUACGGACGGGCGUGACGUGCGCCUUCACCCGCUAGUUCCUCAGUAAUCAGUGCUAACAUAAGCUUAACUGGAUGUAAUCUAUAAUCACCAUCCUCUUUGAAGGUACGUACACUACUAAAUUUUUACCUAUUGAAUAAUCCCGAUUCAAACGUGUUACCCACACGUACGGCGGGCCAAGAGACCUUCAUAGGUGCUAGGAAGCAAUAUUAUCCUCGUCCAGAAGUCGUGUGGCCAUACAAAUGAUAUCAGAAACAGUCAUAGUAAGAAAUGAUAUCGUAAACGCAGCAGCACACCACCAAUCCAGCAUAUCAAAGACCCCCUAAAUCCAACAUCACAUCUACCAUCCAUAGAACCGACGCACAUCAGUUUUCUUAUAUGUUACCUCUCUAGGGAUCAACUCAGCUAAACUAAUAAGCGCCCAUACAGUUCUUUAAGUCAAGGACUCGUGAGCAGGUGAAAGGGCGAUGCGCUUAGCUGUCACCCGCACUAAACAGGGUGAGCAGGGCCAUGAACAGAUUGAUGAUGUCAAGGUACAACGAGACGGCGGCCCAGACAUACUCGUCAUAGGUGUAACGCUUGAUGAUGUUGUCCGUGUCAUAGACAAUGUAGCCACUGAAGAUGAGUGCCGCCAGCGCGCCAUAGAUCAUGUGAGAGAGCUUGCCCAGCGGGAAGAGGAUCUG
rnacentral:lncRNA from 1 species